rnacentral:lncRNA from 1 species
GAUGUAGGAGUACAUCAUCACUGAAUGUGACCAAUUGCGAAGCACUCUACUGUCAAGGACAACUCACGAAGGGUAUGGGUAUAAGUGUCUCUCCGACCUGAAAUCACCACGAUGAUUUGUAAGUAACUUACUAUAUUUUGGUAUCAGACUAUCUGAGUUUAUAAUUCAGUAAUGAAAGAUUUUUGGAUGUAGUGAAGUACUUGUCAAGUCGGUGUAUGAGUCAAGAUGGGAUUGAUCCCUCUGAAUUAGUCGAAGUUAAUGUAUCAAUGUAUUUCAAUUUAGCAAAAUUUGAGCUCAAAUAAUCUAUGUGAUGGAUUUGAAAGAUUGAAAUAUAAUGUAAAUGACUUAUCUAGGAUUGACAG